CGGUUCCCAUUUUACUCUGCUCAAAAUUCUUAGUGAUUUAUAUACCAUGUUAUUGAUUUGUGCUUUUGAGUUCUUGUUUGAUCCAACUUUUGAGGGGAUUCAAAUGGCUUCUUGUUGGUUAUUUCAGCUAGCGUGGUACCCAGAAGGGUUUAGUGGAGUUCCAGCUGAGGAACGGCUGCAUUGGAGAUCAUUCUUAGUUAAGCUGGGGGCAGAUAAUCUUAAAGGUGUAAAAAAUGAAGAGCUUCUUGUUGCAUCCCAUAAGUCAGUUUACAUCGUAUACACAGUACUUGGGGAUGUCAGCAUUUUUGUUGUUGGCAAGGAUGAGUAUGAUGAACUUGCCUUGGCAGAAGUCAUUUUUGCUAUCACAUCAGCCGUGAAGGAUGUAUGUGGGAAGCCUCCAACUGAGCGCCUUUUCCUUGACAAGUAUGGGAAGAUAUGCUUAUGCCUAGAUGAAAUUGUUUGGAAGGGAUUGCUGGAGAAUACAGACAAAGAUAGAAUUAGAAGAGUAAUGAGAUUAAAACCUCCUACAGAGUUCUGAGUCCAGAAUCUGCUUGCAGUGACGAGGCAAAUGGAGUUGGAAAGAUAUAUUUUUGUAUAAUAUGGACAUCAUGCUGGAUUUUAUUGUCUCCAUGUGAUCAUCGUUGUUCUUGAUCCAUACUAUACUUUUUUUUAUGCUCUACAGAAGGCUGUUAGAUCCAAGUAUUGUGUUUUCCUUAUUGGUGACCUUUUAUAUUAUUUGCUGUAUCAAUAUAUUUACUUUGAUGUGAAUGCC
rnacentral:misc_RNA from 1 species